rnacentral:tRNA from 1 species
CAGGGAGACAACAAAAUGUUUAAUAUUAUUAUUUUGUCACCUUAGGUCGAUCGGUAUCUCACGUUCUUAAUUUAUUAAGAAUUUCAUUUCCUAAGUUUUUCUAGGUCACACCCAUUAUUUUUCCUGGGCCAUUAGCUCAGGUGGUUAGAGCGCACCCCUGAUAAGGGUGAGGUCCCUGGUUCAAGUCCAGGAUGGCCCAUAUCUCUAUGUUGGGGGUAUAGCUCAGUUGGUAGAGCGCCUGCUUUGCAAGCAGGAUGUCAGCGGUUCGAGUCCGCUUACCUCCACUGAUUACCACCUCUUCCAUAACCGGUAGAAAGGAAAUGUUUUGAGUUGUGAUCAUUAUUCUGAACGAAUCUAGCUUCCUAAUGAAAUCAUUAAGAUGCUGGACUCAUUGAAUUAAUUUCAUUGUUUUCAGAGAACCUUGACAACUGCAUAGAUUAUUUUUAAAGACAAUAAGCAUCUUUAAUGAUGCAGAUUUAUUAUUUGUGCGAAUGCAUUAAUAACAAUUCUAUUAAGCUGAUGCUUCAAUUAUUGAAGUUAUU